ensembl:lncRNA
GAUGAAACUAACCAUGUUUUUACAUCAAGCCCCUACUCACCUAUGCCCAAAAAUUCUGAAAACUCCUAUGACCAUAUUGGCAAAUGUAUAAUAUAAAACCAUGUAAAGCAAGAGUGGAUGACAGCCAAAUCAUGUAAUGCUGGAACUCUAGAAUUAGAGUUCUCAAAUAUUUAUGCUUCAAUUGCCACACCGUAUCUCUCAGGUAGUUACUGUACAAAAUAGGGAAUGGAGAAAAUUUUAGUGGGAUAUACUUUUUCCCCCACAAAAUUCAAAGACUGUUUAUUUAAAUGUAUUAAAAACGACUCUUAGUUAAACUACCAGAGAUGAAUAAAACCAUCUUCGCUGUCUUCUUCUACAUAAUUCUGAAAGGUUAGUUCUUCCCAUGUGUGUCAAUGGGACGUAAUAGAGGUCUGUUGGUAUUUCUGUGUUAUUGAACUUAUCAAACUUGGUUAAAACUUGUUCCUUUACUUGAAACUGUCCUAUAGGACAACUGGGUCUGACUAAAGCCACACUCCCGGAGGGACUGACUGCACAUAGAUUUCCUGGGAAGCAAAAGUAUCCACAUUGAAAAAAAAGUAUCUUUUCCUAAAUUAAUUUACUGAGUUUGGUCUUUAACCAUUUCAUUUAUAUAUAAUAUGCCUUCUGAUUACUAUCCCACUUAAUCUCCCUCUUACCCCUAUUUUCUUCCCUCCAAACAAGUCCUCUUCCUGUAUGCAUGCCUUGCUUUGGAGACCCACUGAAUUCAGCCAGCAUCAUCUGCGUGGCCCUGGGCUCGGAACUGAAAACACCGUGGCAUGCAGUGGGAGAUGCAGUUCCACAGCCCUCGGCCUUUAGUGUGCAGCAGAAGAAACAACAGUCACUGCUUUUCCUUUCCCAUGGAGGUAUUCGGCCUUUGCCUGAAAGGUGUAACAUGUGUCCUCUUUUGGCUUAGAUCUGAUCUCUGUGUUCCCUUUCCUGUAACCAGGGUCAACAAAACACUGUGUCAGAUAUUGGUAAGGUUUAGAAAAUUCUUCCGGACUCCUGUAGUAAACCUUCCGGACGACAAGGCAAAUAAAGUCAGAUUUGCUCAUGGCUUGCUGGAUGUGAGAAACAUUAGCAUCACUUUUGAGCUUUCCAGAAAUUUAUCAGCUACUUAUGUAGACAUAUUACGCUGUCUUGAUUUAAAUUAUUAAUUGUUCUCACUCCUGGUUCUAUCUAAGUGAUUUAAACCAGGUUCCUUUAUGACAGAAAGAAGGCACGCUCUCUGAAAAAGGACUAAUUCUAAAACGGUUUUAGUUUGUCUUCGUAAGUGAAUGAUCAAAAUAAUUAGUGAUCACAAGUGAUUUGAUCAUUUAUCAUGUAAUAUUAACAAGCAGUGGGUCAAAGUGUGAGAGGAGAACUUAUGUGCCACAGAGUAGCAAUAUUUUUGUGCUAUGGUUUACAUUGUUAAGCAAACUAAAAUAAGCAAAUCUUCAUGCCAGGGUCUUAGUUAAUGUCAUCUUGCUUGGCUGAGAAGCCCACACCAUCUCUGAGCAGACAUAUUUUAAGAGAGCAUUAGGGCAUGCAUAUUUUUAGGAUGCUAAUAGACUCUCACCCCCUUUGAUUUUAGCUGCCAGAAAUUAUGAUUCAUAGUUCUUGAUAACACAGAACAGAAAACAUUGCAAAGGGAGAGAAAUUCUAACAGAUUGCUUAGGGAUGAUUUCUGAGUGUCAGUUGAUCAAACGUUUCUCUUUCAUUCCUUCAGCAAAAUGUGCACUUCUGUUUUGAAAAAUUAGUACAGAAAAAUCUUUAUUUUUUUCCCUUCUAAUACCUUCCAACCAUUAACAACUUUGCAAUCG